rnacentral:lncRNA from 1 species
AUCUCUAUGGGUCUCUAUGGGUCUCUAUGGGUCUCUAUGGGUCUCUAUGGGUCUCUAUGGGUCCCUAUGGGUCUCUAUGGGUCUCUAUGGGUCUCUAUGGGUCCCUAUGGGUCUCUUUGGGUCUCUAUGGGACACUAUGGGGCAGUUAUGGGUCCCUAUGGGUCUCUAUGGGUCUCUAUGGGUCCCUAAGGCUCUCUAUGGGUCCCUAUGGGUCUCUAUGGGUCCCUAUGGGGCAGCUAUGGGGCUCUAUGGGUCACUAUGGGUCUCUAUGGGGCACUAUGGGUACCUAUGGGGCAGCUUAUGGGGCACUAUGGGUCUCUAUGUGUCCCUUUGGAUGACUAUGGGUCUCUAUGGGUCACUAUGGGGCAGCUAUGGGUCUCUAUGGGUCUCUACAGGGCAGCUAUGGGGCAGCAAUGGGUCUCUAUGGGGCUCUAUUGGGCUCUAUGGGUCCCUAUGGGUCUCUGUGGGUCAAUAUGGGGCAGCUAUGGGUCUCUAUGGGGCAGAUAUGGGGCUCUAUGGGGCUCUAUUGGGCUCUGUGUGUCCCUAUGGGUCCCUAUGGGUCUCUAUGGGUCACUAUUGGGCUCUAUGGGGCUAUAUGGGUCCCUAUGGGGCAGCUAUGGGGCUCUGUGGGUCCCUAUGGGUCUCUGUGGGUCGCUAUGGGGCAGCUAUGAGUCACUAUGAGGCAGCUAUGGGUCUCUAUGAGUCUCUAUGGGGCUCUAUGGGUCCCUAUGGGUCUCUCUGGGUCUCUACAGGGCAGCUAUGGGGCAGAUAUGGGGCAGCUAUGGGGCUCUAUGGGGCAGCUAUGGGUCACUAUGGGUCCCUAUGGGGUCCCUAUGGGGCAGCUAUGGGGCUCUAUGGGUCCCUUUGGAUGACUAUGGGUCUCUAUGGGUCACUAUGGGUCUCUAUGGGUCACUAUGGGGCAGCUGUGGGUCGCUAUGGGGCAGCUAUGGGUCUCUAUGGGGCAGCUAUGGGUCUCUAUGGGUCCUUUUGGAUGACUAUGGGUCUCUAUGGGUCACUAUGGGUCCCUAUGGGGUCUCUAUGGGGCAGCUAUGGGUCUCUAUGGGUCUCUUUGUGUCUCUAUGGGGC